rnacentral:rRNA from 1 species
UACGUAGGGUGCAGGCGUUAAUCGGAAUUACUGGGCGUAAAGCGUGCGUAGGCGGUUUGCCGUGUCCUGUGUGAAAGCCCCGGGCUCAACCUGGGAAUUGCAUGGGAAACUGGCAGGCUUGAGUGUGGCAGAGGAGGGUGGAAUUCCGCGUGUAGCAGUGAAAUGCGUAGAGAUGCGGAGGAACACCGAUGGCGAAGGCAGCCCUCUGGGCCAACACUGACGCUCAGGCACGAAAGCGUGGGGAGCAAACAGG